rnacentral:rRNA from 1 species
UACAGAGGGGGCAAGCGUUGUUCGGAAUUACUGGGCGUAAAGGGCGCGUAGGCGGCCUGCUAAGUCGAACGUGAAAUCCCUGGGCUCAACCCAGGAACUGCGUCCGAUACUGGUUGGCUUGAAUCCGGGAGAGGGAUGUGGAAUUCCAGGGUGUAGCGGUGAAAUGCGUAGAUAUCUGGAGGAACACCGGUGGCGAAGGCGACAUCCUGGACCGGUAUUGACGCUGAGGCGCGAAAGCCAGGGGAGCAAACGGG